GAGGAACGCUGGCGGCGUGCCUAAUACAUGCAAGUCGAGCGAACAGACGAGGAGCUUGCUCCUCUGACGUUAGCGGCGGACGGGUGAGUAACACGUGGAUAACCUACCUAUAAGACUGGGAUAACUUCGGGAAACCGGAGCUAAUACCGGAUAAUAUAUUGAACCGCAUGGUUCAAUAGUGAAAGACGGUUUUGCUGUCACUUAUAGAUGGAUCCGCGCCGCAUUAGCUAGUUGGUAAGGUAACGGCUUACCAAGGCAACGAUGCGUAGCCGACCUGAGAGGGUGAUCGGCCACACUGGAACUGAGACACGGUCCAGACUCCUACGGGAGGCAGCAGUAGGGAAUCUUCCGCAAUGGGCGAAAGCCUGACGGAGCAACGCCGCGUGAGUGAUGAAGGUCUUCGGAUCGUAAAACUCUGUUAUUAGGGAAGAACAAAUGUGUAAGUAACUAUGCACGUCUUGACGGUACCUAAUCAGAAAGCCACGGCUCACUACGUG
rnacentral:rRNA from 1 species